CAGUAGCCGCGGGAAUACAGAGGGUGCGAGCGUUAAUCGGAUUUACUGGGCGUAAAGCGUGCGUAGGCGGCUUAUUAAGUCGGAUGUGAAAUCCCUGAGCUUAACUUAGGAAUUGCAUUCGAUACUGGGAAGCUAGAGUAUGGGAGAGGAUGGUAGAAUUCCAGGUGUAGCGGUGAAAUGCGUAGAGAUCUGGAGGAAUACCGAUGGCGAAGGCAGCCAUCUGGCCUAAUACUGACGCUGAGGUACGAAAGCAUGGGGAGCAAACAGGAUUAGAUACCCCAGUAGUCCCUGUCUCUUAUAC
rnacentral:rRNA from 1 species